UCCCCAAGAGUUUCUCACUCUCACUCUAUAUUUUUCUACCACCCGUUCUCAUCCGAAUGCACUCUCAAUAUAAGGUCACUCACACUCAUAUUUUAUUCCCAACAUCAUGAUGUCUUGAAUAAUCAUUAAAGAAAAAGCACUACCUUUUCUCUUUUCUUACAAUGAUGAUGUCUUUACUCAUGAUUAUGUCUUUACAUGAUGAUGUCCACUUCUUUGUUUAGUUUACAAGCCGAAAGGCAUUUGGAUUGUGGUAGUCACCAUGUCUUCAAUUGUUGUCAACACAUGACUCAUAAUUACUCACAAAUGUAUGAGCCAAACACAACAGUUAACUCAUGAAAGCGUCUAAGGGCUUAUGUGGGUGUUGAUGAAGGAGAUGCAUGCGCCUAAUAUCUGAGUAAUUUCCUCUUAUUUGAAUGAGCCUAUAUUAUCAGUCUUCUUUUGAUCCAAUAUUAGUUCUCUCGUUUUCAAUAUUUUGUACUUCAAGCUUAAGAUAUAAGUUGGAAUUGUCAUAUCUAAUCAGAACAGGCAUUUUAGUAGGUUUGCAGCUCCUGCAAUUUGAGAGGAGACUGAGAGAACAUACGUGAAGGCACGGGAAGAUGGUGGCCGCACUGUGGAUGUCAUGCGUUUCUUGUUAACGUAUGGGCUUGAUCCCGUUAUUGGUACAGUGGAGAACAAGCCAUGUCUAAAUAAAAUGGUCAAAGAAUCAGUGAGACGGCUACUCAAACAGAUGGUAGAGUUUGAGUACAGCACUGAGAACAUUGACUCCAAUCCCCCAAAGUGUACAACUACAAGGAUAAAGAGGGUCGCUUUGGUGUCAGACCAUUCAAUUCCACAAGAAAAAGGCCAAAUAAGUUCCAAUGAAGCCAGCCGACUGGCUUGGCCCCAUGUAAUUUGACAGCUUGAUCGUGCAGUUUAUGAUUAUUGAAUCUUGAUUAGUUGUUUUAUCCUCAAUAAUAUUUUUUUUCAGCGGAUGCAACUUCCUUAACUUUGCUAGAAAUAUCAAGGGCCUUCGUUGUGAUGAUAUUUUCCAAGAAGGACUGACACGACUAAGAGAGGAUCAAUAACAUCUUCCGUUGAAGAAGGGGGACUGGAUAUGUGACAAUUAAUGGAUGCUAAAAUCUUAACAUUCUUCUGUAAUUCCAUUUCUUAUUGAGAUUUAGAGAGUAAAUGUCUUUUCAGAUGUAGAUGCUUGCAAUGCAAAGAGAAGACUCCAAACCGGCAGAUAAAUCCCUGCAAGUUCUACUUUAAGAGAAACAUGGUGUGCUUAGAAUGCGAUCAUAAAAGGCCAAAGGCAGCACAUUCUUCGGAGAUUUCUGCUGAACCUGUAUGUGAUGACGGAGGCUACCUUAAGAAGUUGAAGAGUUUGAAUUCUACUAAGAAGAUGACGCCUGCAAUCGUUCGAACUCAUGGAAUGAGGCUUCUGGGUUAGUAGGCUUUUCCCGUCUCAGGAGGUAAGACGGAACUGUCUCAGAAUCCACAAAAAAGGGACUUUGUGGAAGUUGAAGAUGUUAGAGAGGAGCAAAGGCGCCUUGACGCAUAAGGCAAACAAUAACGAAUCUAGGUAUGUCAAAAUUUCAAAAAGAUUGGAGCUUUCUGAUUCAACCGACGAUGAAGAGAUGUCAGAGUGGUUUGGGGGUGGAGGAAACCAGGAUUAAACACCAAGGAAAUCUGGAUAAUAAAAUAUCAAGUUUGGUUUGAAAUCUGUGUAGGUCAGAAAUCGUUUGGAUUCGAUUAGAACCCACAUUGUUUUCAUUUGGAAGCUUUAGUCAUUGAUGUUUGUACAGCUCAAAGUGAUUUAGCAAAGAUUUGUCAUUAGUUCCUUUA